rnacentral:rRNA from 1 species
GAUGAACGCUGGCGGCGUGCCUAAUACAUGCAAGUCGAGCGAACAGACGAGGAGCUUGCUCCUUCGACGUUAGCGGCGGACGGGUGAGUAACACGUAGGUAACCUACCUAUAAGACUGGGAUAACUUCGGGAAACCGGAGCUAAUACCGGAUAAUAUUUCGAACCGCAUGGUUCGAUAGUGAAAGAUGGCUUUGCUAUCACUUAUAGAUGGACCUGCGCCGUAUUAGCUAGUUGGUAAGGUAACGGCUUACCAAGGCAACGAUACGUAGCCGACCUGAGAGGGUGAUCGGCCACACUGGAACUGAGACACGGUCCAGACUCAUACGGGAGGCAGCAGUAGGGAAUCUUCCGAAAUGGGCGAAAGCCUGACGGAGCAACGCCGCGUGAGUGAUGAAGGUCUUCGGAUCGUAAAACUCUGUUAUUAGGGAAGAACAAACGUGUAAGUAACUGUGCACGUCUUGACGGGACCUAAUCAGAAAGCCACGGCUAACUACGU